rnacentral:misc_RNA from 1 species
UUUCCGUAGGUGAACCUGCGGAAGGAUCAUUAUUGUAUAACCGAGGUGCGAGGGCUGUCGCUGGCACGAAAGGUCGUGCACGCCCGAGUGCCCUCACACACAUCCAUCUCACCCCUAUGUGCACCACCGCGUGGGUCCCCCUUUGGCUUGUUCGGAGGGGGGCUUACGUUUUCACACAAACUUUGUAUGCAGUGUAGAAUGUAUUUUUUGUUUUUGCGAUCACGCAAUCAAUACAACUUUCAACAACGGAUCUCUUGGCUCUC